GGACCUAGCAAUAGGUCAGUGGCGAACGGGUGAGUAACACGUAGGGAUCUGCCCCGAAGUAGGAAAUAACCAGCCGAAAGGUUGGCUAAUGUCCUAUGUGUUCGUAAGAACAAAGAAGCAAUUCGCUUCGGGAGGAACCUGCGGCCUAUCAGCUUGUUGGUGAGGUAACGGCUCACCAAGGCUAUGACGGGUAGCUGGUCUUAGAGGAUGAUCAGCCACAGUGGAACUGCGACACGGUCCACACUCCUACGGGAGGCAGCAGUAGGGAAUAGUCGGCAAUGGACGAAAGUCUGACCGCGCGACGCCGCGUGAAGGAAGAAGGCCUUCGGGUUGUAAACUUCUUUUAUGAGGGAAGAUUAUGACGGUACCUCAUGAAUAAGGGGCUGCUAACUACGUGCCAGCAGCAGCGGUAAUACGUAGGCCCCGAGCGUUAUCCGGAAUUAUUGGGCGUAAAGUGCGCGUAGGUGUUUUAGUAAGUCAGUCAUUAAAUCUUACGGCUUAACCGUGAGCUCGUGAUUGAUACUAUUAGAAUUGAGUUAUGCAGGGGCAAGCAGAAUUCUUGGAGUAGAGGUGAAAUUCGUUGAUACCAAGAGGAAUACCAAUGGCGAAGGCAGCUUGCUGGGCAAUAACUGACACUGAGGCGCGAAAGCGUGGGGAGCAAACGGGAUUAGAUACCCCGGUAGUCCACGCCGUAAAUGGUGCUAACUAGCAUUGGGGAGAGUCGGCCCUUUCCGAUGCGAAGCUAACGCGUAAGUUAGCCGCCUGGGAAGUACGAUCGCAAGAUUAAAACUCAAAGGAAUUGGCGGGGGCUCGCACAAGCGGUGGAGCGUGUGGUUUAAUUCGAUAGUAAGCGAAGAACCUUAUCCAGGGCUUGACAUCCAAGGAAUUCUCUAGAAACAGAGAAGUGUCCGUAAGGAAGCCUUGAGACAGGUGCUGCACCGUCGUCGUCAGUUCGUGUCGUGAGAU
rnacentral:rRNA from 1 species